rnacentral:rRNA from 1 species
CUCUGAUGUUAGCGGCGGACGGGUGAGUAACACGUGGAUAACCUACCUAUAAGACUGGGAUAACUUCGGGAAACCGGAGCUAAUACCGGAUAAUAUUUUGAACCGCAUGGUUCAAAAGUGAAAGACGGUCUUGCUGUCACUUAUAGAUGGAUCCGCGCUGCAUUAGCUAGUUGGUAAGGUAACGGCUUACCAAGGCAACGAUGCAUAGCCGACCUGAGAGGGUGAUCGGCCACACUGGAACUGAGACACGGUCCAGACUCCUACGGGAGGCAGCAGUAGGGAAUCUUCCGCAAUGGGCGAAAGCCUGACGGAGCAACGCCGCGUGAGUGAUGAAGGUCUUCGGAUCGUAAAACUCUGUUAUUAGGGAAGAACAUAUGUGUAAGUAACUGUGCACAUCUUGACGGUACCUAAUCAGAAAGCCACGGCUAACUACGUGCCAGCAGCCGCGGUAAUACGUAGGUGGCAAGCGUUAUCCGGAAUUAUUGGGCGUAAAGCGCGCGUAGGCGGUUUUUUAAGUCUGAUGUGAAAGCCCACGGCUCAACCGUGGAGGGUCAUUGGAAACUGGAAAACUUGAGUGCAGAAGAGGAAAGUGGAAUUCCAUGUGUAGCGGUGAAAUGCGCAGAGAUAUGGAGGAACACCAGUGGCGAAGGCGACUUUCUGGUCUGUAACUGACGCUGAUGUGCGAAAGCGUGGGGAUCAAACAGGAUUAGAUACCCUGGUAGUCCACGCCGUAAACGAUGAGUGCUAAGUGUUAGGGGGUUUCCGCCCCUUAGUGCUGCAGCUAACGCAUUAAGCACUCCGCCUGGGGAGUACGACCGCAAGGUUGAAACUCAAAGGAAUUGACGGGGACCCGCACAAGCGGUGGAGCAUGUGGUUUAAUUCGAAGCAACGCGAAGAACCUUACCAAAUCUUGACAUCCUUUGACAACUCUAGAGAUAGAGCCUUCCCCUUCGGGGGACAAAGUGACAGGUGGUGCAUGGUUGUCGUCAGCUCGUGUCGUGAGAUGUUGGGUUAAGUCCCGCAACGAGCGCAACCCUUAAGCUUAGUUGCCAUCAUUAAGUUGGGCACUCUAAGUUGACUGCCGGUGACAAACCGGAGGAAGGUGGGGAUGACGUCAAAUCAUCAUGCCCCUUAUGAUUUGGGCUACACACGUGCUACAAUGGACAAUACAAAGGGCAGCGAAACCGCGAGGUCAAGCAAAUCCCAUAAAGUUGUUCUCAGUUCGGAUUGUAGUCUGCAACUCGACUACAUGAAGCUGGAAUCGCUAGUAAUCGUAGAUCAGCAUGCUACGGUGAAUACGUUCCCGGGUCUUGUACACACCGCCCGUCACACCACGAGAGUUUGUAACACCCGAAGCCGGUGGAGUAACCUUUUAGGAGCUAGCCGUCGAAGGUGGGACAAAUGAUUGGGGUGAAGUCGUAACAAGGUAGCCGUAUCGGAAGGUGCGGCUG